rnacentral:rRNA from 1 species
ACGCUGGCGGCAGGCUUAACACAUGGCAAGUCGAGCGGGCCCUUCGGGGUCAGCGGCAGACGGGUGAGUAACGCGUGGGAACGUGCCCUUCGGUUCGGAAUAACUCAGGGAAACUUGAGCUAAUACCGGAUACGCCCUUUUGGGGAAAGGUCUUAGUACUGCCGAAGGAUCGGCCCGCGUCUGAUUAGCUAGUUGGUGAGGUUAUGGCUCACCAAGGCGACGAUCAGUAGCUGGUCUGAGAGGAUGAUCAGCCACACUGGGACUGAGACACGGCCCAGACUCCUACGGGAGGCAGCAGUGGGGAAUAUUGGACAAUGGGGGCAACCCUGAUCCAGCCAUGCCGCGUGAGUGAUGACGGCCUUAGGGUUGUAAAGCUCUUUUCUCCGGGACGAUAAUGACGGUACCGGAGGAAUAAGCCCCGGCUAACUUCGUGCCAGCAGCCGCGGUUAAUACGAAGGGGGCUAGCGUUGCUCGGUAAUCACUGGGCGUAAAGGGCGCGU